rnacentral:tRNA from 1 species
GCCACUGUGGUCUAAGUGGUUAGAACGCUGGCCUUGUAAUCCUGGGGUCUCGGGUUCGAUUCCCGGCGGUGCCC